UUCUCACCUCAGUAUCUGGCACUACUGGAAGAAUAGUCCUGAGAUUCAUGAUCUGGAGCCAGAAGUAUCCAUAUGUUCUUGGUUCUGCUUAUGUUUCCUCUAUAUGCUAUACACCAAAUAUUUCAUCACAGGCAGAUAAACUAUCAAUUAUCAAAGGCAAAGGUGAGCAUUAGGAAUUUCUGAAAGGAUCUGGACACUGUCACAUGAAAGGAGUUUCAGGGAAGCUGGCGGCAGAUUCCAGCAUCUCACUACCCUCUAACCAAGAACUUGGCACUAGAUUCUUCUACGUGAGCCUACGUACCAAGACGCUUUGUGCUGGCUUAUUCAGAAAAGUAAUAAACUGACACACCGACCAAGCAAGAAACAAACUACACAAAACACCAGGACAUCAGUGGCAUAAGCAAACAGAUUUCACGUGACCUCGCAGGGCCAUCCACACAGACAAGAAUGAGAAUACAGGCCCUUGGAGUUGUGCCCAGGCAUUUUCAAAGUGUGCAGAGUAGAAGAAGGACGAAUGGGAGGAGCCGACGGACUUGAUCCCAAGGAAAUGUUCACAUAUGAUCUGGUGACUGGUCUGACAGACCAGAUGUCAUAAGUCUCGAGUUAUUUUCCAGUUGCUGUGAGACCAGUGACAAGUCAUACCACCCUGCGUUUCACAAUAUUUCAAAACAUGUGUCACGCAGCUCUUUAAACCAGUUUACCAGCUUCAUCAUUUCUUCCUACUAAUCCACAUCACACAUGACCUACUAAAGGGCAGUGAAUUCUAAGAGGACAACACCAGAAAAGGAAAACAGUGAGUACAUGAAACCCAGGAAAAAGCCAUCACUAUUCUCAUAAACUUAAAAGUGAAUUUAAAAUACAACAAGCACUAAUAAUCAUUGAUUAAUAAGCCACAGGAAUUGAAUAAUAACCGAAGUUGCGCAGGCAGCAUUACAAUCUAGGUAGUAAACACAUGGUUCCCAAACUUGUAUUUUUAUUAUUUUACUCUGAGAGAGUGCACAUAUGCGCAAUCGGGGUGGGCAGGGGACAGAGGGAGAGGGAAAGAGAAUGUUAAGCGGCUCCACCCUCAGGCUCCACCCCCAGGGCCGAGCCCAACAGCCAGGGCUUGAUCUCACUCCCCUUGAGUCCUGACCUGAGUCAAAACUUAGACUUGGGCUCUCAACCAACUGAGCUACCCAGCCCACCCCAUGCUUUUUUAAAUUAUAGCACAAACACCAGAUUUGGGGAAAGCAGUUGAGAUUAAGACUCAAGAAACCACUGAAUGACAAUAAAGGCAACAUAAUUCUACUUGCAUAUAACUAAACCUCAUGUUGCCUACAAAGAUUGCACGGCUGAUUGCACCGCUGUGAUUCAACAUAAUCAUUCACCCUUAGGCACUCAGAUUGUGUUUGAAGAAAACAGUUCAUGCCCUUGUAGCGCUCAAAGACAUAAUCCAAAAGUUAAGUCAUCUCUUGCCUGCAUAUUUUUCUUUGGUGAGGGUUUGAUUUAUAUGAAUCCAUCUUAUUUGUAGUAAAUUAUAUCUAAUCUGCACCAUGUUCCACAAACAACUCAGAUCAAGUUCUGUCUGAUACACAUUGCCUGUUGGCCGUACUCAGCUGUAGUAAGAUAAAUUUUACACGUUGAUCGAAAUUGGGCAGCCUAUUUACUGGUAGAGCAGAAUGUCAUGACCUACCAGUUCAGAAGAAUGAUGGAAUCCCUCACUCCCUAUUCCAUCCGUAUUCUAUCAUUAUCAAGCACACUAUUCUAGUGUAAGUAAAAGACCAGAUUAAAUUUCAACAGUGUGGACAAAGGGCAGGAAAUAUGGUUUCAAAAAUAAAUUGAAGUAAAAUCAUGAAGGGUCUUAAAUAAUAUUAAAAUGUGUUAAACAAGUACAAAGAAGCCAUUAAUUAAAGAAUCUAAUCAUUCAACGGUAUUUAUUGAGUAUCUCCUGUGUGCCAAGUUGCUUCCUAAUCGAGUGCUAGAGAACGCUGUUAAAAUAAAGUCCCUUCUUCAUGGACUUCUUACAUUCCAGUGGGAGAGAUGGAUAAUAACCUCCUCCCCAUCCAAAGUUUUAAGUAGAUAUA